rnacentral:lncRNA from 1 species
AACUUCUUCCCCUACAGAGAUGCCUCCAAGGUCGCUGAACAUGUCUUCCACAACUUUGACACCAACAGCAACAGCACCAUCGACUUCCGAGUGUUCAUCAUUGCUCUGAGCAUGACCUCUCGGGACAAGCUGGAACAGAAGCUGAAGUGGGCCUUAGCAAGUCCGACCUAGACAGCAAUAGCUACAUCAGCUGCAGGAAAUGCUGGAGAUAGUGCAGUUACCUGCACUUGACAGGGUCUGGAGCAUGGGGAGUGCAGGGAUCCAAGACCCCUAUCCCCGACCCCAUACACCAGGUCAUUCCUCUGCCCACCUGCUACCUGCUGUAUUAAAGGACUGUAUGUCUUUGCAGCCAUCUACAAGAUGGUGUCCUCCAUGAUGAAGAUGCCUGAGGACGAGACCAUGCCCAAGAAGCAAACAGACAAGAUCUUCAGACAGAUGGACACAAACAAAGAUGGCAAAAUGUCCCUGGAUGAAUUCAACAAAGGUGCCAAGAGGGACCCAUCCAUUGUCCGGUUGCUGCAGUGUGAUCCCAGCAGUGCUAGCCAGUUCUGAGGGGAAUAGGCUUUUACACAGUUGUGAGAAACACAGGUUUGACUUGCCAUCUUCAGCUUUGCUUGAUACAGUGGUUUUCUCCGUGAUUUCUCCUGCUCUCUCGGGACCUGGGUCCAGGCAGCAUAACACACUCACCUGGUCUGGCUGGAUGCAGCUCCCUCCUCUGUCUGAUCCAAUAGAUGUCCCUCCCCAUCCAGUCCAGGAUGGUUUCUUCCAAGGUUUCAAGUGUUCUGGGCUGUAGGGCUCCUUCCCUGCCCACAGAGGGCCUGGAGACCCUUAAGGACACCAGACAGGACAUUUCAGUAUCUUACUGAGACCAGCUGAUUUAUUCUAUGAUCCCAGGUGAGUUUGUGAGGAUGAAGAAGAUGGAGAGUAGAUAGGCAAGCCCUUCCUGUGCAUGGCUCCACCUCCCUUGUUCAUUUUCUCCGACCAAAGCUGCUUGCAUGUAUAUACUGCAGUGUCCUUACUUUUAAUAUAUAAGUUUUGUAUAAAGUGAGAAGGUUCAGCCCCUGUAUUUAAAGCCUCUGACUGCCUUUAAAGCAUGGUCCCCUGUGGCCUGUGAUUCCCCCCACCCCCAAGUCUGGCUGUGCUGUGGUAUUUAAGUAUUUAUUUGCCUAAUUACACAGGAGAUACAUGCAUGCCCAAGGCUGUGGACAUCUGCCCUCCGUCCUGCAAAUACAGGUGUUCCUGUGUGCUCUGUCCUUCCUUUCCAUUGACCUGGCAUAUUAAAAUGAUCAAAUAAA